rnacentral:tRNA from 1 species
GCCUGGGUAGCUCAGUGGUAGAGCGAAGGACUGAAAAUCCUUGCGUCGCCAGUUCAAUCCUGGCCCCAGGCACAA